rnacentral:rRNA from 1 species
UACGUAGGGUGCGAGCGUUAAUCGGAAUUACUGGGCGUAAAGCGUGCGCAGGCGGUUCGUUAAGUUCGUUGUGAAAGCCCCGGGCUCAACCUGGGAACUGCAUUUGGGACUGCAAGGCUGGAGUACGGCAGAGGGAGGUGGAAUUCCACGUGUAGCAGUGAAAUGCGUAGAGAUGUGGAGGAACACCGAUGGCGAAGGCAGCCUCCUGGGCUAGUACUGACGCUCAUGCACGAAAGCGUGGGGAGCAAACAGG